AUUGAACGCUGGCGGCGUGCCUAACACAUGCAAGUCGAGCGGUAACAGGUGUAGCAAUACAUGCUGACGAGCGGCGAACGGGUGAGUAAUGCUUCGGAAUCUACCCAAUGGUGGGGAAUAACCAGCCGAAAGGUUGGCUAAUACCGCAUACGUCCCACGGGAGAAAGCAGGGGAUCGCAAGACCUUGCGCCAAUGGAUGAGCCGAAGUCGGAUUAGCUAGUGGUAGGGUAACGGCCUACCAAGGCGACGAUCCGUAGCUGGUCUGAGAGGACGACCAGCCACACUGGGACUGAGACACGGCCCAGACUCCUACGGGAGGCAGCAGUGGGGAAUAUUGGACAAUGGGGGAAACCCUGAUCCAGCGACGCCGCGUGUGUGAAGAAGGCCUGCGGGUUGUAAAGCACUUUUAGUGGGGAUGAAAUGUUCAGGUUAACACCUCUGGAUUUUGACCUAACCCACAGAAAAAGCACCGGCUAACUCUGUGCCAGCCGCCGC
rnacentral:rRNA from 1 species